GACGAACGCUGGCGGCGUGCCUAACACAUGCAAGUCAAAGGAAAGCAGCUUCGGCUGGGAGUACUUGGCGCAAGGGUGAGUAACGUAUAGGUAAUCUGCCCUUUGGACUGGCAUAACCCCGAGAAAUCGGGGACAAUACCAGAUGAUGCAGCGGGACCGCAUGGUCAUGUUGUUAAAGAUUUAUCGCCAAAGGAUGAGCCUAUAUUCCAUCAGGUAGUUGGUAGGGUAACGGCCUACCAAGCCUACGACGGAUAGCUGGUCUGAGAGGAUGAUCAGCCACAUUGGAACUGAGACACGGUCCAGACACCUACGGGUGGCUG
rnacentral:rRNA from 1 species